AUGAGGUUUUUUAAUGUGCUUUAAAAAAAGAAAACCCUGAGGAAACUACAGCCAAAAAUGACAUCAGCAAUGUGCUCUGCCAGUUUCUGGGUGCUCCAGGGUGGGAUGAGUCCAAACUUCAGCUGCUCAGGGGUGCUCAAACAGCAGCUGCUGGGAAGCACCAGAGGCACCAAGGCAGCCACCAUGGUUCACCCCAUGUGGUCCCACACCACAUUUCCAUCACAAGAGCAAGAGUUAAUUUGGAUUCUCUGUGUCUCAGCUGGCAGCAGCCUUUGGACUCUCCCCAUUCCAUCAGCCCCAUCAGAUGGCAAGAGAAGCUCCCCAGUGGCUGACCACGUUUGUCUUCUCCAGCACCAGGGCUCUGCAUGGCUGUCACAGCAUUGCCAAGGUGCUGCUGAAGUUGUGCAUGAACACUUGCCAGUCAGCCUAGGAUAAGGUGCAUUCCUUCCCCAGGAAGCCAUUUUCCAUCUGUUCCCAAGCACUGGCUGUAGGAAAGAGUGUUUGCUGUCCUGCAGAGGCUCUGUGGUUCUGCAGCAGGGCCAGGAGAUGCUGCAGCUUCCUGCUGUACCUGCCUGGGCAACCCUGCUGGAGCAAUCAUUUUAUCUUCCAUUUCUAGGCAAAGUUAAAAUUUAGCCACAUGAAAUGAGAAACCGAAAUACAAAUGCUCUCAAAAGUGA